GACGAACGCUUGCGACGUGCCUAAGAAAUGCAAGUCGAACGAGGUAGCAAUACCUAGUGGCGAACGGUCGCGUAACACGUGGGCAACCUGCCCCGGAGCGGGGGACAACAAUCCGAAAGGGUUGCUAAUACCGCAUGUGAAGGGGGGUGGCAUCAUCCCUUUUUCAAAGCCUUGUGCACUCCGGGAUGGGCCCGCGGCCUAUCAGCUAGUUGGUGGGGUAACGGCCUACCAAGGCAUCGACGGGUAGCUGGUCUGAGAGGACGAUCAGCCGGAUUGG
rnacentral:rRNA from 1 species